ACGCACGCUGGCGGCGUGCUUCACCCCUGCAAGUCGAACGGAAAGGCCCUGCUUUUGUGGGGUGCUCGAGUGGCGAACGGGUGAGUAACACGUGAGUAACCUGCCCUUGACUUUGGGAUAACUUCAGGAAACUGGGGCUAAUACCGGAUAGGAGCUCCUGCUGCAUGGUGGGGGUUGGAAAGUUUCGGCGGUUGGGGAUGGACUCGCGGCUUAUCAGCUUGUUGGUGGGGUAGUGGCUUACCAAGGCUUUGACGGGUAGCCGGCCUGAGAGGGUGACCGGCCACAUUGGGACUGAGAUACGGCCCAGACUCCUACGGGAGGCAGCAGUGGGGAAUAUUGCACAAUGGGCGGAAGCCUGAUGCAGCAACGCCGCGUGCGGGAUGACGGCCUUCGGGUUGUAAACCGCUUUCGCCUGUGACGAAGCGUGAGUGACGGUAAUGGGCAAAGAAGCACCGGCUAACUACGUG
rnacentral:rRNA from 1 species